UAUAGUGUGGGGUAAUUUGCAUUUUAUUUUUUGGUAAUAAGGGAGAUUUGUUUCUACUAUAA
rnacentral:tRNA from 1 species